rnacentral:rRNA from 2 species
UUGAAAGGGAAACGAUUGAAGUCAGUCAUACCAACGGGAAAUCAACCUUUUGAGCUUGGUUUCGUGGGUUUUGAAGAGUUUCAAAGCCUUCGGAUUCGCGAGAUUGGGAUCUCUCGGUGUACUUUCUCGUACGGUUAGUCAACAUCGGUUUUGAAUGUCAUAAAAUGACUGGAGGAAUGUAGCUUCGAUCUCGUAUUGAAGUGUUAUAGCCUUUGGUAGAUGUGAUGUUUGAGACCGAGGAUUGCAACGGAUACCCUUCAGGGCUAUUCGUCUGAUCUCUGAUACGUUGCCUUGAUGUUGAAAGCUUGCUUAUGAUGUUAGGGUAUUACGGUCAAAAGGUUAGAACGAAUUACAUUCGUUAAGGAUGUUGACGUA